rnacentral:lncRNA from 1 species
GAACAAGGGGAAGGCCUCCGGCGCUGAGGAUUCUGGGGAACGUAGUUCGCUCACUGGGCUGCGCACGCGCACUGGCUGCCUAGCGGCCUGGCUCAGGCGGCCGGGUGCCAUUGCUGGACGCGUUCCCGCCGUGCACUGCGAAGCCCUUCAGUUUUCCUGAGUUUCGCAGCCAGAGUCCUGAACUUACCCAGGGAGGUGAAGACCUUCAGUGUCAAGCCGAAGAACCUGAAUUGGUAAAGGUAGUACCUAGCAUGUAUGUAAGGGGAAACAAAGAGAUAGAGCCU